ACAUAAUAACGUCACGGGGUCACGGUAAGUUGGUUUUUUCUUGAUAUACGCUGUUUACGCGGUGUGUUUGUCCUCGAUAAAAAAAGGUUAUCGUACAGUGUGUAUCCUCGAUCGAAAAGGUACCGUACAAUGUGUCUGUCCUCGACCAAAAGGUUACGGUAAAGUGUGUUAUUUUGUUCGUGUGAACAUUGAUUUCAAACUCUAGUGUACUAAAGCUGAGUACAGACAUGUGUGAGAGGCGAGGCAAAAUGUGUGUACUUGUUCUACGAUAGAAGGCCAGUAACCUCUGUACAGUGAAUGCAAUGACUGCAGUCAGAAUAGGGGCGGAUCCCAUCGAGGCGUUAAUGGAUGAAAAAGUCUUGAUUACGGUGGACGGUCUGUCCCCCAAUGAACCGGUCACGAUCAAAGCCUCCUUGGAAGAGGAUAACAAGAAGUUCAGUUCCUAUGGGUGCUUCACCUCCACGAGGAGAGGACGGGUGGACCUGGGCACCCAGCCCUCGCUACAAGGAACCUACACAGGCGUGGAUUCCAUGGGUCUCCUUUGGAGUAUGGACCAAGAACCUUGUCAUGAAUGGCACAUCAGAUUUCAGAAAAGAGACGUGACUACCCCCGUUGUAGUCAACAUUAAAGUAUUUAAAGGACACAUCACCUGGGAUAAUCUGUUUGAUCCGCACCUGAAACCUUUGGCGGAAUCCCAGAUCUACAGACGGUAUAUGGCCAAGAGUGUUCGAAGAGAGAAAGUGAGGCAUGGAAAUAUAAGGGGUGUUCUAUUUACUCCACCUGGUCCAGGACCAUUCCCUGGGGUCAUUGACAUGUAUGGGGGUGGUGGAGGACUAUUCGAACACCGUGCCGCUCUCCUUGCCUCCAGGGGCCUCUGUGUGUUGGCUCUGGCCUUCUUUCAUUACGAAGAUCUAACCACAGUAUAUACAGACAUCACAGCAGAUUAUUUCAUUGAGGCUUCGAAAUGGUUCAGUGGUCUUCCCCGGGUACUAUCUACAGGUAUUGGUGUGAUAGCACUGUCCAAGGGCGGAGAGUAUGCUCUAGAAAUGACCCGGCAUUCGUCCACGUGAUGUACCUCUCAAAUUUAGCAAAGGGGACAUUCCAUGCACAGAAUUUCAUUUUGAUGGAAUCGUUCCAACCAUAAACGGACUAGAUUUCAGAAAAGCUCACCAGCCAAGUGACGAUUUCUUUAUAAAGGCUUGGGAGAGUAAUGCGUCCGUUUUGUGUAUUGUGGGAGAAGAUGAUCAUUGCCUUAACCCUCAAUUAACAGAUCAGUUCCUCAAACUUGUACCCAAAGAACACAAGCACCGGUUCUAUGUUAUAAAAUAUCCUGGGGCAGGGCACCUGAUCGAACCGCCGUUUGCUCCUCAUUGUGUAGCAUCAUUUCAUAAACUUAUGGGGUGUAUUUAUGAUUGGGGUGGAGAAACUAAACACCAUAGUUACGCUCAAGAAGAUUCUUGGAGGCGGAUCUUGCAGUUUUUUACAACUCAUCUUGUGUUUAAUAACUUUGUACAGGAGAAAUGUAAACUCUAGCAAUCUAAUACACCCUCUUUAUAUGACCUAUGAAAACGUUGGGUGCAGGAAGACAUUCAGUGAUUGUGUUUAGAGGAAUCUUUAAACUUUUUUUUUACCUCAAACAAAGUCUUGGAGGCGGCUAAACGAUACUCAUGUUCAGUUUUGUUAUUCCCUAUACCAAACAUGUGCUCUCUUGUACUCACAGAUCAAAAAGAUAAAAACUUUGUUUAUACAAGAUUGUAAAAAGUGUUGGGAAUUUGUUUCAGAUUUGGAACAAUUUUGAUAAAUUUAAUUGAAUUCUUGUAAAACACGUGUAACGCUUUCUGCUGUACAAGAAGAGUGCGUUUUGAAUGAUCCCGUAGACACCGAGAGGAAAUUAUAACAGUGUCUACACAUCCCGUUUUAUUUACAUCGGAGAAUCCAAGAAGCUGUAAAAUGUGAUCCCUCUUGCAGCGAUAUUAUAAGAAACGCAAAUAUAUUUAAGGUCUUUCGAUUGUCGCAUGACGUCAUUAGGAACAUUCCGGAAUAUUUUACCGUUAUCGGUUAUAACAUUAGUGUUAUGUGAUGCAUGGUUUUGCCAUUAAUUCUUAUUCUAUCUUGUGUUUUACACAUUUUGAGAUAUGAAAAGUGGAACGAC
rnacentral:misc_RNA from 1 species